ACGAACGCUGGCGGCGUGCUUAACACAUGCAAGUCGAACGCUGAACCCGCUUCGGUGGGGGAUGAGUGGCGAACGGGUGAGUAACACGUGGGCAACCUGCCCCCGGCUCUGGGAUAACUCCAAGAAAUUGGGGCUAAUACCGGAUGUGACCGCUGGCCGCAUGGUCUGGUGGUGGGAAGGGUUUCCGGCUGGGGAUGGGCCCGCGGCCUAUCAGCUUGUUGGUGGGGUAGUGGCCUACCAAGGCGACGACGGGUAGCCGGCCUGAGAGGGUGACCGGCCACACUGGGACUGAGACACGGCCCAGACUCCUACGGGAGGCAGCAGUGGGGAAUAUUGCGCAAUGGGCGGAAGCCUGACGCAGCGACGCCGCGUGGGGGAUGACGGCCUUCGGGUUGUAAACCUCUUUCAGCAGGGACGAAGCGCAAGUGACGGUACCUGCAGAAGAAGCACCGGCCAACUACGUG
rnacentral:rRNA from 1 species